CCUACGGGUGGCAGCAGUCGAGAAUCAUUCACAAUGGGGGAAACCCUGAUGGUGCGCCGCCGCGUGGGGGAAUGAAGGUCUUCGGAUUGUACACCCCUGUCAUGUGGGAGCAAAUUAAAACGAUAGUCCCACAAGAGGAAGAGACGGCUAACUCUGUGCCAGCAGCCGCGGUAAUAAAGAGGUCUCAAGCGUUGUUCGGAAUCCCUGGGCGUAAAGCGUGCGUAGGCUGUUUCGUAAGUCGUGUGUGAAAGGCGCGGGCUCAACCCGCGGACGGCACAUGAUACUGCGAGACUAGAGGAAUGCAGGGGGAACCGGAAUUCUCGGGGUAGCAGUGAAAUGCGUAGAGAUCGAGAGGAACACUCGUGGCGAAGGCGGGUUCCUGGACAUUAACUGACGCUGAGGCACGAAAGCGUGGGGAUCGAACAGGAUUAGAUACCCGUGUAGUC
rnacentral:rRNA from 1 species